CCAAUAGCGUAUAUUAAAGUUGUUGCAGUUAAAAAGCUCGUAGUUGAAUUUCGGGAUCAGUUGAUCGGUCGUGCCUCGGUACGUACUGGUCAAAUUGAUUCCUACCUUCUGACGAACCACGAUGUCAUUAAUUUGAUGUCGCGGGAAAUCAGGACUGUUACUUUGAAAAAAUUAGAGUGUUUAAAGCAGGCUCGCGCUUGAAUACAUUAGCAUGGAAUAA
rnacentral:rRNA from 1 species